CCUGCUCAAGCUGAGCAUCGUGGGCUGGG
rnacentral:piRNA from 1 species